rnacentral:rRNA from 1 species
UACGUAGGGUGCGAGCGUUAAUCGGAAUUACUGGGCGUAAAGCGUGCGCAGGCGGUUGUGUAAGCCAGAUGUGAAAUCCCCGGGCUUAACCUGGGAAUGGCAUUUGGGACUGCACGGCUAGAGUACGGCAGAGGAGACUAGAAUUCCUGGUGUAGCAGUGAAAUGCGUAGAUAUCAGGAGGAAUACCGAUGGCGAAGGCAGGUCUCUGGGUCGAUACUGACGCUCAUGCACGAAAGCGUGGGGAGCAAACAGG